UCCACGAUCUCCGCUGGUAUAACAGGUAAAUCCACAGUCCGCGCUGAACAGUAAGGCAAUGUUCCCAAUCCUCCCAAUAACCGGACGAAACACAGUCUGGGAGUCAACUGCCGGCUUUAUUCACAAGCUUGUAUAUUUAUACAGUUUUCCAUACAAUGGUACACAAAAUCCCCUC